UACGUAGGGUGCGAGCGUUAUCCGGAAUUAUUGGGCGUAAAGAGCUCGUAGGCGGUUUGUCGCGUCUGCCGUGAAAGUCCGGGGCUUAACUCCGGAUCUGCGGUGGGUACGGGCAGACUAGAGUGCAGUAGGGGAGACUGGAAUUCCUGGUGUAGCGGUGGAAUGCGCAGAUAUCAGGAGGAACACCGAUGGCGAAGGCAGGUCUCUGGGCUGUAACUGACGCUGAGGAGCGAAAGCAUGGGGAGCGAACAGG
rnacentral:rRNA from 1 species